rnacentral:rRNA from 1 species
AUUGAACGCUGGCGGCAUGCCUUACACAUGCAAGUCGAACGGCAGCACGGGAGCAAUCCUGGUGGCGAGUGGCGAACGGGUGAGUAAUAUAUCGGAACGUGCCCAGUCGUGGGGGAUAACGUAGCGAAAGCUACGCUAAUACCGCAUACGAUCUAUGGAUGAAAGCGGGGGAUCGCAAGACCUCGCGCGAUUGGAGCGGCCGAUAUCAGAUUAGGUAGUUGGUGAGGUAAAGGCUCACCAAGCCGACGAUCUGUAGCUGGUCUGAGAGGACGACCAGCCACACUGGGACUGAGACACGGCCCAGACUCCUACGGAGGCAGCAGUGGGGGAAUUUUUGGACAAUGGGCGCAAGCCUGAUCCAGCAAUGCCGCGUGCAGGAUGAA